CCUUGUCAUUGCAUAUCUGCUCCUUGAGGUAUUUUAUCAUUGCACACCUGUUCCUUGCAAUAUCUGCAGCUUUCUGUGAGCUCCUUUUCUCCAGGCUACUUGUGUCUCUGAGCCUCCUGUGCAUUGCCUCUCCUUUGCAGAUAUUACUGGUGUAGUUUUGCUGUUUUGACUCUCCCAGGUUGUCCCUGGUCUGUAUUUUCUUUAGUAUCACUCCCUGCCCCCCACCAUUCCCCCCAUUUACUUCAAUUUUCUCUUCUUUAGGUAGCUAAAUGUAGAAUCACAGAAUCAUAGAAUGGUUUUGGUUGGACAGGACCUUAAAAAUAAUCUUGAUCUAACCAACCUGCCACGUACAGGGACACCUUGCACUUAACCUGAUUGCUCAGAGCUCCAUCCUGCCCAGCCUUAUCUUGUCUGGAAAAAACCCAUUUCUAUUUUUAAAAAAGUUACUCCCUUUCUGUAUCUCAGAGCUGUCAUAAUUUGGGUGAAAAGAGCCUCCUCAACUGCCUGGAGAAGCCUUGGGACAGGCAGAGCCCCACAUACCCCAACGAGUAUCCUGCCAAGUAAUGCUAACUGAAUUCACUCACAUUUUCUUUUGGGAAAAGACUGGCCUGACUUUCAGCCAUCAGAAAUUAGGAAAAGAUUGGUGAUGUCUUCACCUGUGCCCAAAUUUUUGGAAGCCAUGAGGAGUUUUACAGGAUGACUGUUGAGACAAACCCCAUGUGUUUCAGGUGUCCAGAAGGCUACACAUGAUAUUUCUCAAGAGCAGCCUGGAGUGCUUGGUACAUGGUCAGCUGUCUUCUUGCUUAUGGGGGAAAAACAUGCAAUAAGACUGCAGAAUAAAGAAUUUGCAUCAGGGUACAAUAGCUCCCUCCCCAUCCUAGUUCCUGAGUCUGCUUUACAGUGACUCAAAAGCUGUGGGUUGCUUGAAUUCAUAGUCCAGUAGCCUAAGAGAGGACAUGACAAAGAGAUGUCUCCAGACAGUGAUUCUGAACUUUUCCUGACUCAGUUUCCUUCUGCUGCUGUGUUAUAUCCUUUUCAUCAUUCGACCCCACUCCUGGGUGCUGGAAUUGACAGCCUCUGGCAGCUGCAGGAGUUUAUGAUAGCAGUUUUUUACUGCCCAUCCUCCUCCUCCUGCUUUCUGUGCGCUCAUCACCACUGACUGCUCACUUCUCUCCUGAGCACUGAUAUUUCACAGGAGCCUUUCUCAGCCAUCUGUGAUUUCCUUCUGCACAGUUCAUGCAGGGUGGCUUCCUGCAAAGUGCCUGUGCCUGGCAAUUCCUCCCUCUGACAAGGAGCUCUUGGGAGCUGAGCAACAGAUGAGUAUAGGUCAGCCCCAUCAGCAAGAGGACAGGCAGCCCAGCAGGACCAUCCCCAGACCCACCACAGCAGAGGAACCCAGGCUGCAACAGUCAUCAUAUAAGGUCAGGUAGAUGAAAAAAUAAGGUGGAGAUUGUGGGAUCCUUGCAAAACAGGAGGAGCCAAAUGAGGAGUAAAGGCACUUCAAUAUCAAGGAAUUUAGGUGCAGCAAAGAAAAGUAGCCAAAAGCACUCAUUCUCAGCACCCAGCUUUAAAGGUAUGCUUAAAAGAAAGGGGCAGUGAGUCCUGUGAGGGGUGGUACUAGGAUGGCACAUCUGUUGUGUUAUGAAGCCUGAUUAUGACAGAAUCACCUCUUCCUGGAGCAAGUUUUGCCUUAUUGGUGUGAGUGAUGAUUUGUCUGCAGCCCAGGGACACUCUCCUUGCAUUAAGUCAUCUGGCACAUGAAGCUGGACGCUUGAAGGAGAGAUAGAUAAAGAAUUGGAGGAAAAACUAGAGAAAAUAUGAUCUGUCCAUGGACAUUUCACUGAACUUGAAACAGAAGUCUCUUGAGUCUGGAAUGGCCACAAACAGAGAGCUGAAGCCUGUGCUAGGAAGGAGAUGAGUGCAAUAUCAUCUGUCCCUGAGCAGAUGAGUGCAAUAAAGGAAAUAACACAAAGCAGUAUCUCGUUGAGGAAAGUUUUGCACUCAAAAGUCAACCAGUUUUGACUGGUCCAGCACUUGAGAUUCAAAGAAAAGCAUGGCUUUCAUACUUCUGUGCCCAUCCUCUGUCCUGUUGUCCUCUGUCCUUGCCUUGUUCACACGGCAGCCUAGAAAUUAUGAGAAACCAGCUCUGAAUGAAGAACCUGCCAGGAUUUUUACAAGAGAAGACCCUGUGCAUCUGCUGGCGUGAGAGGACUGCAGAUGACCAAGUCUCCUGCUCUAGACAAUGAUCCUGCUGUUAGAAGAAGAGAAACAGAGGUACAGGGCAGUGGAAUGAUCAAGGAAUGGGAGAGGCUCUGUACUCCCAGUUGGACCAGUGCUGUGACAUCAG